CCUACGGGGGGCAGCAGUGGGGAAUAUUGCACAAUGGGGGCAACCCUGAUGCAGCGACGCCGCGUGAGUGAAGAAGUAUUUCGGUAUGUAAAGCUCUAUCAGCAGGGAAGAAAAUGACGGUACCUGAUUAAGAUGCCCCGGCUAACUACGUGCCAGCAGCCGCGGUAAUACGUAGGGGGCAAGCGUUAUCCGGAUUUACUGGGUGUAAAGGGGGCGUAGACGGCAGCACAAGUCUGGAGUGAAAUGCCGGGGCGUAACCCCGGACCUGCUUUUGAAACUGUGCAGCUAGAGUGCAGGAGAGGCAAGUGGAAUUCCUAGUGUAGCGGUGAAAUGCGUAGAUAUUAGGAGGAACACCAGUGGCGAAGGCGGCUUACUGGACUGUAACUGACGUUGAGGCUCGAAAGCGUGGGGAGCAAACAGGAUUAGAUACCCUUGUAGUC
rnacentral:rRNA from 1 species